rnacentral:rRNA from 1 species
CCUACGGGAGGCAGCAGUGAGGAAUAUUGGUCAAUGGGCGAGAGCCUGAACCAGCCAAGUAGCGUGAAGGAUGACUGCCCUAUGGGUUGUAAACCUCUUUUAUAUGGGAAUAAAGUUCAGCAUGUAUACCGUUCCGUAUGUACCCUAUGAAUAAGCAUCGGCUAACUCCGUGCCAGCAGCCGCGGUAAUACGGAGGAUGCGAGCGUUAUCCGGAUUUAUUGGGUUUAAAGGGUGCGCAGGCGGACGAUAAAGUCAUUGGUAAAAUUGAGGGGCUCAACCUAAUAGAGCCGUUGAAACUGGGUGUCUUGAGUGAGGGAGAGGUAGGCGGAAUGCGUGGUGUAGCGGUGAAAUGCUUAGAUAUCACGCAGAACUCCGAUUGCGAAGGCAGCAUACUGG